GCGCGGGUCUGGCUUGGGUGGUGACGGCUCGGGCUUGGACGCUGAGGGAGCUGGUCUGGUAGGCCGCAGCCGCCCCAGACUCUCUGGGAACGUCCACCGCCACCUGCCGCAGCCUUCAGAAUUAAUGGAAGGACCUUGAAGUGCUCGUGAGUUUGGAAUGAGCAACUUCUGUUCUCAUCUCUGCUCUUCUGCAUUGGGGCAGCGUGAAGACUACUGCUAAUUCCUUCAUAGAUCUGCUUUGAAGAUGUAAAAAUCUAAAGGAUGUUAGCCUUUCUUAUCCAUUGACCAUUCUUCAGGCCUGAAGACCCCUUGGGCCAUGCCGCUCAUACCCUUAUAUUUGGAUACUAAGAUGGAUCUGUGAUCUCAUGGAUGUCUAGUUACUGGUGUAGAGCACAACCUCCACAUAGCUUCUUUGUCAUUCUUGUCCUUCGUUAUUUGUUGUUGUUCAUUUGUUCAAUGGAAUGAAUCUGACACUGCUUCCAUUUCUUCUCCCUCUGUUUGCUAGGAAGUAAUGGGACCAGUUGCCAGGAUAUUAGCUUUUUUAAUGUUAAGCCUCGAGCCAGCUUUUAUACUUUUUUUCUCCCACUCAUCAAGAGGCUUCUUAAUUACUCUUCAUUUUCUGCCAUCAGAGUAAUAUCAUCCGCAUAUAUGAAAUUGUUGAUAUUUUUCUUGGCAACCUUCUUUCUGGCUUUUGAUUCAUCCAGCCUGGCAUUUCACAUAAUGUAC